rnacentral:tRNA from 1 species
GGCCUCGUAGCUCAGCUGGUAGAGCAUGCGCGUACAAAGCGUAGGCGGUGUCCAUGCGUGGGUUCGAAUCCCACCGAGGUUA